GAUGAACGCUGGCGGCGUGCCUAAUACAUGCAAGUCGAGCGAACAGACGAGGAGCUUGCUCCUCUGACGUUAGCGGCGGACGGGUGAGUAACACGUGGAUAACCCACCUAUAAGACUGGGAUAACUUCGGGAAACCGGAGCUAAUACCGGAUAAUAUAUUGAACCGCAUGGUUCAAUAGUGAAAGACGGUUUUGCUGUGACUUAUAGAUGGAUCCGCGCCGCAUUAGCUAGUUGGUAAGGUAACAGCUUACCAAGGCAACGACGCGUAGCCGACCUGAGAGGGUGAUCGGCCACACUGGAACUGAGACACGGUCCAGACUCCUACGGGAGGCAGCAGUAGGGAAUCUUCCGCAAUGGGCGAAAGCCUGACGGAGCAACGCCGCGUGAGUGAUGAAGGUCUUCGGAUCGUAAAACUCUGUUAUUAGGGAAGAACAAAUGUGUAAGUAACUAUGCACGUCUUGACGGUACCUAAUCAGAAAGCCACGGCUAACUACGUG
rnacentral:rRNA from 1 species